UGCUACCCUGCUGGUUUUGAAGAUAGAGGAGGCAUCAGGAGCAAGAAGAGGCAAGAAAACAGAUUCCUCCUUGGUAGGGCUGGAGAAAGAAUGGCCCUUACCAUUCCACUGAGGACUUCUGACCUCCAGAGGAAGAGGAAAAAUUGUGCUGUUUUAAGUCAUUAAGUUUGGGUGAUUUGCUCCAGCAGCCACAGGAAACUAAUAUAUCUGCAGGAGACAGGGAUCUCAAGGUCGCUGGCCUUGGGGCCUUGCCAGCUCCAAGUAGGAGACAGAAUGCUUCCUGCCCAUGCAUGGACCUGCCAGCGAGUGAGGGAGGCAACAGAGUGCAGUGCAAAAGCCCAAAGAUCUGGAAACCUGAAUGUCAACCCGGAUCUGCUUCAGGCCCCCACCUGUGCGGCGGACAGGCCGGGACUGGAGUGCCGCGCACCCCCUAACUCAGCAUGCUCCGGCAGCGU